rnacentral:rRNA from 1 species
AACAAACGCUGGCGGCGUGCCUAACACAUGCAAGUCGUACGAGAAAGUUGGCUUCGGCCGAUGAGUAAAGUGGCGCACGGGUGAGUAUCGCGUGGAUAAUCUGCCCCUCAGUUGGGAAUAACUCAUCGAAAGGUGAGCUAAUACCGAAUAAUACUGUGAGACCCCGGUCGAUCAGUCAAAGGGAGCCUCUGCUUGCAAGCUUUCGCUGAAGGAUGAGUCCGCGUACCAUUAGCUAGUUGGUAGGGUAAUGGCCUACCAAGGCGACGAUGGUUAGCUGGUCUGGGAGGAUGAUCAGCCACACUGGAACUGAGACACGGUCCAGACUCCUACGGGAGGCAGCAGUGAGGAAUCUUGCGCAAUGGGGGGAAACCCUGACGCAGCAACGCCGCGUGAGUGAGGAAGGUCUUCGGAUCGUAAAGCUCUGUCAGAUGGAAAGAAAUGCAGGGGGGUUAACAGCCUCCAUGCUUGACGGUACCAUCAGAGGAAGCACCGGCUAACUCCGUGCCAGCCGCCGCCGUAA